AAGCCUUUGAAGGGUUUUAUGGAAAAUCAUAGGCUGUCAUAGAUAUUUAAGGUCAAAAAAUUGUUUUCGCAUAAACUUUAAUUCGGCAAAUGCGCAUACGGGAAGGAUACUAUAAGAAUAGUAUUGGUAUACAAGAAACCCAUGUUUUGACGCAGAACAAUAUGAAUAAUCGUGGCUCGAAAGGACGAUUGCUGACGACAUUCGUUGGAUGUGUUUUAAUGGCGUGAUAUAUCUAACGAAAUUGUUUAAUAAAACUGAAUCAACAGUGAAGUUUUUUUUGUGAUCAUAGAAAUACAUCUAUAGUUUCAUAAUCUGGUUUUCAGUGUUUUAUCCAUGAAAACUUUCUUAUUUUAGGUUUAUAAGGUUUCGCUAUGAAUUAUGUUAGGCCACUUGAAUCAGGGAAUUGUAGAUCCAAAACAUGAUCUCAGGAAAUAUUUUUUCAUAAAAAAGGACUAUGAAUAAAAUAAUGCUUUGAAUAUAGCGCGAAUGGACAAAAAGACUAUAAGUUUAUUAUGGUCUUGUGAACCAUAUUUGUCAAGAGUUUAAUGUCGUAACUUGUUUCGAGCAUAUCUUUGAUGAUGAUCUUUGAAAAUAAUUUUGUUUCUUGUGGAAAUACCAGCCCGUAAACUGUGAAAUUCGCAAGUGUUGAGGAUCAUUGGUUUGUGCAGAAUAAAAUGGCAUGAAUUUCACAAUCAGAUCAAUAUUUUCUUUUAAAGAAGUAAAAACUGCAUUUUUCAUAUUUUUCCUACAAAAUACAAUAGAUAAGCUUCAUUUGCUUCAUACAACAUUGUUUUUCUAGGUCAAACCGUUUUUGAUCUGCGACUGAUUCAAAGUGUACCGAUUCUAAAGUGUGCAGGCUUUAUAUUGUGUUAUUGACCAACAGUUCUAGAAAAUAUUGUGGAUUUGGCAUCUAGUGGAUUGGUUUCCACUCCAUUUGGUGCUAAGAGAACUCAAAUCGGUUCUCGGCUGAGAUAUUUAUUAUGAUACACUUGGUCAAAAAUCUCUCAUAAAGUUAACCUGUAUUACUCCCAAGUACUCUUUGAAAGAUAUCUCGGUAACCAAAUGUCCAAUCCUAAUAAAAUUGUAUGGGGUUCUGCUAGGAUAUUUUAGCUUUCAUUUGGUGCAAGGAGAACCGAAAUCGGUUGACAGACGGCUGAUAUAAUUAUCAUGAUACACUUAGUAAAAAAUCUCAAAAAGUUUAGUUGUAUAAAUCCUAAGUACUCUUCGAAAGAUAUCUCUGUAACUAAAAGUCCAAUCGAAAUAAAAUUUCAGAGCGUUUUACUGGGAUGUUGUAGCUUUCAUUUGGUGUUAAGAGAACCCAAAUCGGUUGACAAACGGCUGAGAUAUUCAUCAAUAUGCUUUAUGUCAAAAAUCUCUCAAAAAGCUAACCUAUAUUACUUAAAAAAGCUCUUCGGAAGAUAUCUCGGUAAACAAAUGUCUGAAAAUUUAAUAGGGUUAUACUAGGAUGUUGUAGCUUUCACAAAUGGAUAAAUACGAUUAAUGGUAAAAAAAAAUCGAGUUUUGCAACGAGAUGCAUAAUUUUUUUUGUCAUUACGAAUGAGGUUUGAAUAGUAUUUUUUCUAGGUUACAUACUUCUGUAGAGUGAGGUACGACCAAGUAUCAUGUUCAAUCAACCUUAUUUAAUAUGUAGUUCAUCCUACUAUUGAUUACACAUACAAAAAUGAAACAAAAAUUUAUGUUGGCAAAAGUUCCGGAAAGUGAUAUUAUGAUUUCGGUUGGAAAUCAAAAAACUUUUUUUAAGAAAAAUAUGUUUGCUAAUUUUGGGUUGUUUACAACAUACGUCGGAAGUGACGUAUAUGAUAGUACAUCAUUGAAUGCACACAGCGCACUGCACCCGGUACUGGAAAAAAGUGUCGCUAGUCGAAAAGUGUCGCUAGUCAAAACGUCGCUAUUCGGUUUGGUGCUGGCCCCAUAAUACUUUUCAGCACAAGUGUCGAAAAGUAGUACUUUCGGCACUUUUGUUUUAAUGAAAAAAGUAGGCCGUUUAAGCGCUCUUUUGCUCAGUGAGAAGUUGAUGUUUGCGCAACGUAAUGACAAAAAAUUUUCUUUCCCUCUUCCUUCAUUCUUCAUUAACUCCUCGAGAGAAACGUAUCUAAAGGGGACCCCACACGAGCAUCAAUACUUCAUCAAUAUUGGUACUUUUUGUCGGAGUUUUCACACGAGCAUCAAUACUUCAUCAAUAUCGGUACUUUUUGUCGGAAUUUUUCGAGCUGUGCAGUUUGCUCUGUUUGCGUUUUCGUUUACUACGUAUAGUAGGUAUUCUUUGGGCAAGCCGAGCACAUUAGUGUUCGGUUGUGCGUCUUCGCGUCGUUACGCGCGGCAGCACGAGUGAAGUCGCCAAUCGGAUCAGAGACAGAGCACGCUCGGCUUCACCGUUUGCAUUUUCGCCGCUCAGUAUUUAUUCUUUGACAUGCAAAGCGCGGGCGGUGGUUGUUGACGGUUGUGCGUCGUCAUACACGGCGCGCGACAGAACCAUGACUAUAGCAGAAGUUUUCACGAGUGCGGAAAUGCAAAUAAAAUUGCGUGAUUGCAUGGAAUCUACCCGAUGUCCUCAGAGCACUUAUUCAUCGUAGUUUGCAGAAAUAAUGGACUGAAGACACCAAAGUGAUUUGUUGCGAUCGCGUACUUUUAUCCAGCGUACUUUUGUAAGUACGCAGUCCAGUGGCGAACUAAAUGUGCUAUAUAAAUCCACAAAUGGUGUGUAAGUAGAACGGAAAUGUGCAAAAAAAAAAAAAAUCAAAAAAUGCGUUUGAUGAAAAAUUGAAACUGUUGCCAAAUGGCAAUGUGUGUUAUCGCAACCGGUUCAAUUGGUAGAUAUUCCAUAUUAAAUAUUACAAAUUUGGUCCACCCAGUCCACCAAUUUCAAAAGUUUAACCCUUUAUAAGGCCGAGAAAACUAGAAGAGUUGUCAACGCAUACUAUUAUGGAAAUGAUUAUAUACAUGAUUACAUGUACAAAACAAUUUUUGUUUGAAAGAAACUUUCAAAAAUCUAGGUGGCAAAAUAGUUGCCACUGCCCGCUAAGGCGAAACUGGAAGCAUUUCCUCACUUUUGGGUUUUUGAUUUGUUUAUUUAAUAACGAAGCAAUAUUUUCAAAAUCGGUUUUCGUACACAUGUAGAGUAUGGAUCAAGGUAUCUUCUGAUUUUUUUUGUGGUGGAAAAUAUUUUUCGUUUUUGCAGAAACCAUUUUUAAACAAAAUUUCACAAACAAAAUGGUUUCUGCAAAAAUGGAAAAUAUUCUCCACCACAACAAAAUUCAGAAGAUACCUUGAUCCAUACUCUACAUGUGUACGAAAACCGAUUUUGAAAAUAUUGCUUCGUUCUUGUACCGACUUUUCUAACCCUCUAAGCAGAAUACCCUCUUCGAAUGAGUGUAAUCAGUUUCGUACCUUUAGGGCGGAAUUAAAAGGUACGAAACUGAUUACACUCAUUCGAAAAUUGCUUCAUUAUUUAAUGAAAAAUCAAAAACCAAAAAAAAAAUGAGGAAAUGCUUCCAGUUUCGCCUUAAGCCCAAAACGCUGGUGGCAAUAUAGUUGUCACUGCCCGUUUAGACCACCAACGCUGGUGGCAAUAUUCUUGCCACUGCCCGUUUAGGGUACUUUUCUUCUUUUGGCUUCGACAAAAAGCCGGAAAAGAGAAUUUAGAGUGGAUUAGGUCUUAACCCAUAAUAUAAACUGCGUAGUUCAGCUCAUGUCAACCCAUAAUUUGAUUAUUUCUUAAAAUAUUUACAAUAAUCUAUAAUCUAUAUAUGUUAUUGUAUGUCUAUAAUGUUACAAUCAGUUUGAGCUAAUUUUCUUCACGCGGUCAAAUUUAGCCAUUUUUGAGACUACAAAUGGCUCCCAUAUUGUUUUAAAGCUUUUUUAGUACCAAAAAAAUACCAGGCGUUGUUAGUAAUCCCAAUUUUACGUAAACCAAAACAAAGUUCGAAAUAAAUUGUUAUAAAACAGAAAAAAAUACAAACAGUAGGUGACAAUAUAGUUGGCAUUGCCUUAUAAAGGGUUAAUGAAUAAUGUAUCCGAUUGAAAUAAGUGAACAUUUCGCAAAAUUUGUUUAAUUUCCAAUUAAUUAUUCAUGGCCUCACUGAUUUUUACCCUCACUUAUCCGAUUGGUCGGAGUUCUAUUCGAGUUCCAUUUGUUGACGAUUGGAAAGGUAUGACGCGACCCAUUUAAGAAGACCUGGACCAAACCCUAUUUUUUUCUAGUUUAAAAAUAAUCAACAUUGGUACGUCAAUUCGACCAAAAGCUUUACUGAAACCUGUAUAGAGAACUUCCACGUGAUUGCCAUUGUCCAUGG